rnacentral:lncRNA from 1 species
CAGGCUUUCUAUGAAACAAGUUAAUUUUCUUCUACUAAGAGACAUGCUGUGGAGACAUCCUAUAAAGCCCCAGAUGUCUCUUUUAAACUUUUGCCUGAAAAGAAUUUAGUCAGAAUUUUUGUCUAACAUUUCAGACCUUAUAGCACCACCUAGUGGGAUGGAAUUUUUCUCCUUGGGGAGCCUUGUCAACCCUUUGCCCGAAACCUCAAGUUUCCCAAUUCUUUUCUCUCUUAAGUCCCUCUGUCAGUGAUCAGUCCGCAUACCCUAUUUGUCAAGAAAAUUCCACUUUCAAUAGCCUGGAGGAAGCCAUCCUGGCAAAACAGAUUUUAGCCUUUUUACUGUCCCCAUCAAAGGAAGGAGAGCUAUUCAAUCCUUAUGUUCUCUUGGGGCACCUGUUCUACAUCCAACUACAUUGUGAUUUAAACAAAAAAAAAAAGAUUUUAUAUUUAGAAGUCAAUUGGUCCCAGUCUCUGGGAUUCCACUGUUUCACCGGGACCAUAACAAGGGAAGCCAGAGAUAGUAUUUAGACACUACUUCCCUUAAAGAUUCUUGCCCAACUCCAACUACAACAUAAUCUCUCCCAGACCCCUGGGGUACCUUGGAAGGCUUUUAGGCUGAGUGGGCCUAGGAAACCAGCAGGGUGGAAAACUAGGACCUUAUACAGGUGAACAUGACUAAUGCUGCCAACUAGGUCCUCCAGAUACAUGGGUGAAGAUCACACUUUCAUCCAUGGAUGGAACCUACGAUGGUUACCAAGACCCAGAGGACAGGGGAAGGAAGAGGAGAAGGAAGAUGCCCUUUCUCUCUUUCUCUCCACCCUAGGUCACUCAGAAGGGAAAGAGAAGACUAAGGGAUGCCUUUGUCUCCCCUGUCUUUCUAGAUGGGUAACAAACCAUCCACAGUCCACACUCCUCUCAAGUAUAUUCUGAAACACUGGAACUCCUUUGACCCUGAGACUCAGAAGAAAAAACAACUUAUAUUCUGUUACACAAGGGUGUGGUCAUAAGAUGACCAACUACAAGACAGGCAGGAGGCCUGGCCUCCUCAGAAAAGUGUUAAUUUUAAUACUAUCCAACAACUAGAUCUUUUCUACAGAUGGGAGGACAAAUGGUCCAAGGUUCCCUAUAUACAAACAUUCUUUGCCCUGCAAGACAACCCAAAUCUUUAUAAGCAUUGUAAAAUUAACCCUGCCCUCUUGACAGCCAUAUCAGACAAAACUAUAAAAGAUAAUUCCCCAAAGUCAGAGAGACAAAUAUAACUUCUAGGUGCCCUCCCUGCCCCACCUAUCCAGGGCCCCAAUAGCCAUAUCAUCAGCUCCUCCAGUUUUGCCACCCAAGAAACCCCUAAAUUCACUGUUACCUCUACAAGAAAUGCCCAGCAGACAUAGUACUACUAGGGUUCAAGUUCCCUUCUCAUUACAGGACCUUAGACAAAUAAAGAGGGACCUAGACAAGUUCUCUGAUAACCCUGAGAGAUAUAUAAAGGCUUUCCAAAAUCUAACACAAGUAUUUAAUCUUACAAGGAGAGAUAGUAUACUACUCCUAAGCCAAACCCUAACUACUACCAAGAAACAGACAACCCUACAGACAACAGGAACAUUCGGAGAUGAACAUGUCUCCCAUAACCAGUCAAAAAAAGAACCCAGUCAAAAGGGUAAAGAGGUGAAAAAGAGACAGGAUCCCAAUUCCCAAUAGGAAGAGAAACAGUGCCCCUUGAAAAUCCUAAUUAGAGCCCUAGUGACCCCAUAGAUGAAUGAAAGAAAAAAAAAACAAUUUCUAUUGUGCAUAUUAAAAGACUUACAAAAAAA